UCUUUACUUGUAACCGCACGUGGAUAUUCCCACGGUGUGAAACCCACAUGUCGGAACCGCCUCCUGAACCUUCGCGUCCUUUGGAUGCGUCCGUUCCCCUAAGUGUUCAAUCAUCAAUGGAAAAGUAUCUUAUCGAUUCAUUUGUUCGACUCUCUUGUUCGUUUACAAUCGAUUCUUCACACGUUAUCAGCACGCUCUCCGACGGAGCGUCGUCGUCGGCAACUGGUGGCAGGACAAGCCCUCCGGCGUAUGGCGCGAGCAGGCCUCACCCAGCAGAGCGGCACGGCGGCGCAUGUCUUCAGCCGCCGAGUGACCCCGCAGCCUCGACCUCCUGCACCAGCCCGAGGCGACCACAGCCCCGGCACGGCGACCCUCUCGACACCCUCUUCCUGUGGAUUUCUUCACAGACCGGAGGCAGCAGCCUCUGUUCGCAUCCACGGCACGGACGACCUACAGCCUGCAAGCAGUGCGAGCGCUCCAUCUAGAACGCGGCUCAGCGGCGCCCUUCUGCGCGUGACCAUGGCUCAGUGGCCUGCUGCAGUCCGAGCCGGUGGCGGCUCCCAACGCGGAGCACGCGACGGUUGAGCGCGGCGCCAGGGAACGACAUCGUCGUCCUUGACGACGACACGACGAGCACGAGGCCGCGGCGCUGCCAUCUCCGACCUCUGUGGUCGUCGAGGUCGCCGCCUGUCACGCGCUCGCCUUCGUGUCCGUGCCGGUCGGGGACUCGGGGCCUUCGUCUUCAUCUAUGGCUCCGGCGUGAGCGGCUCCUCUUGCGCCACGGCAGUCGAUGCCAAAGCUGCCGCACCGUCCCAGACACCCACCACUCCUCCGCCUUUGCGGCGCACAGGCACGCGCCGCCGCCCCGGGGCCCUCGCGGUCCCGCUGAAGAGUCCGCCGUCGAGCAGCCGCUCCGGCCGCGCAGCAGCAGCGCUCGCGCUCGCGGAUGGUGCCUACAACGGCGUUGGGCCCGGCACCCACCUCCGCGGUGGCUCCUCCUCCAGGACGAGCGCGGCGGGAGAUCUUCUCUCCGCCGGUGAUGCGGCCGGCCAGCCGGCGCUGGGGUCCUCCGCCGGUCUCCGCUGUGGAUUUGGGAUCGAAGUGACUCGGGAAUUGCUAGACCUGUUUAUUUCAUCUAGUCGCCCUCCCUUAUCUACUCGCUUUGACCAGGUCGGGGCUGCCUUACGUGGCCAACUGGCCAUAUGCAUGCGCUGGGAAUUUAGGCAUCCAGCAUAGCAUACCACGUUUUGCUCAUUUGCACAUUUGUUUUAGCAGAUUACCAAUUAAUCUCCUAACAGCACUUCUAGCUGUAAUUUAUUUCUGUUUUAGAUCUGCUAAAAUCAGUAUACAUAUUUUAGUACUGUUUUCUGUUGAGUACCGAUGUAUUCCAGAUUCUAAGUUGAUGUAAUAUAUUUCCAUGUUUGCCAAAUCAA